rnacentral:rRNA from 1 species
CAAUAGCGUAUAUUAAAGUUGUUGCAGUUAAAAAGCUCGUAGUUGGAUUUCUGGUGGGAGCGAUCGGUCUGGCGCUUAGCGCGAGUACUUGCAUCGUCUCCGGCCAUCCUUGGGGAGAGUCUGUCUGGCAUUAGGUUGUCGGGCAGAGGAUCCUCAUCGUUUACUGUGAAAAAAUUAGAGUGUUCAAAGCAGGCUUAUGCCGUUGAAUAUAUUAGCAUGGAAUAAUAAGAUAGGACUUUGGCACUAUUUUGUUGGUUUGCGCACCAAAGUAAUGAUUAAUAGGGACAGUUGGGGGUAUUCGUAUUCCGUUGUCAGAGGUGAAAUUCUUGGAUUUACGGAAGACGAACUACUGCGAAAGCAUUUACCAAGGAUGUUUUCAUUAA